UCCCUGGCAGUCCAAUGGUUAGGACACCAUGCUUCCACUGUGAGGAACACAGGUUCAAUCCCUUGUCAGGGAG
rnacentral:tRNA from 1 species